rnacentral:rRNA from 1 species
UACGGGGGGGGCAAGCGUUGUUCGGAAUUACUGGGCGUAAAGGGCUCGUAGGUGGCCAACUAAGUCAGACGUGAAAUCCCUCGGCUUAACCGGGGAACUGCAUCUGAUACUGGAUGGCUUGAGUUUGGGAGAGGGAUGCGGAAUUCCAGGUGUAGCGGUGAAAUGCGUAGAUAUCUGGAGGAACACCGGUGGCGAAGGCGGCAUCCUGGACCAACACUGACGCUGAGGUGCGAAAGCUAGGGUAGCAAACGGG